CGCGUAGGCGGUAUGUCAAGUCAGGGGUGAAAGGCCUGGGCUCAACCUAGGAACUGCCUUUGAAACUGACAAACUAGAGUCCGAAAGAGGAUGGCGGAAUUCCCAGUGUAGAGGUGAAAUUCGUAGAUAUUGGGAAGAACACCAGUGGCGAAGGCGGCCAUCUGGAUCGGCACUGACGCUGAGGCGCGAAAGCGUGGGGAGCAAACA
rnacentral:rRNA from 1 species